rnacentral:ncRNA from 2 species
GGUAUUCCGUUGGGGCGCCCCGCAAAGGGGCUGAGAGGCAAUCUGCCGACCCAUCGAACCUGAUCCGGGCAAUGCCGGCGUAGGGAACGGAUGAUGGCAGUGA